rnacentral:sRNA from 1 species
AGAGUUUCGUCAGAACACUCCUCCUCCCAGUUCUGACGGAUACGACCGGCUCCUCCUCCUCCCAAAAGCCGGUCAUCCCAAAACGACACCCGCCGAACCUCCUCCCUCGGCGGGUGUUGUUU